GCCUGCAUGGAGUAGUGGUUAACUCACCGGCAUCCGGCCCUCUCAGUCCAGAAAGCCGGGAACCCGGGUUCAAAUCCCGGUGCAGGUG